ensembl:snRNA U6 U6 spliceosomal RNA
UUCUCAUGAAUAAAUAAGUGAAAUAAAAAAAAAUUGGAACAAUACAGAGAAGAGUAUGACCCCUGCACAAGGAUGACACACAAAUUUGUGUCGCUUUCCAUAUUAAA